GAAAGUUUGUUGGAAGGUGGUUGGACUGAAUGGAGAGCCAUCAGAGACUGUGAUUGUAGGAUAGCAGGAGUCCACAGUGCUCAGAACAUCCCAGCCAAUGCUUUAGAAUCUUAGAAUUGUGAUGGAAUAGAUCACAAGUCCAACCCCAGCCCACCCGCACCAUGCCUUCUAAACCUGUCCUUCAGUGCUGUACCUCCUCAUUUCUUGAAUAUCUCCAGGGCUGGUGACUCCACUGUUUCUCUCAGUAUCUUGUAUCCCUUUCUGAGAACAAUUUUUUCUUAAUAUCCAACCUGAACAUUCUCUGCAGCAAUUUAAGGCUGUUACCUCCUUUUCUGAGAGACCUUACUCCAGAUCAUCCCAGCUGCAGCUGCUGUUGCCUUGACAGCUCUUUCCUCACCUCCCAGGAUGACCUAGAGGUUUUGCUCAAAUUAAAUGGAAAACCAAAUUAAACAAUGAUUUAAUUAAGUGGAAGUGAUGGAACUUAGAGGCAGACUUAGAAGGUGAAGAUCUGAAAGAAGCAUAUUCUUCCAAUCGUGACAUCUAACAGAUGUAAUCCUUCAACAGCAAAACAGAGAUUUACUGUCAUUUGGAGGAUAAUGAAGAAACCAAUGGCUUGUUGUUGAUCAUGAACCGGUACCAUGCUGGUGGCAGUGAGUGGUCACACACCAGGUCCUGAGCAGAUUUUCGCUGCAGCUCCAGUGAGUCAAACCUGGUGCUGCGGUACGGGCUGCGGAGGAUGCGAUGUCCAGCUGGGGAGCACUCAGGAGCUGAAAGAACGGUGAGCUAUGCACUGCCCCACAGGAGUAUGAGGAUAGAGGCAGCCAAGCAUCUCUUACCUGAAGACCAAAAAGAUGUCAAGAACGGUUGACAAAGGAGGUGACAACAAGAAGUUCCUGCAAAGAUGAGAGACCGUCUUGAAGAAGCAUUUAACUGUGGGAGAAGCUUUUUCCACGGAGAUAUCUUCAGGUGUGGAGGAAGGUGCAAGAUCCCUAAAGGGCAAGGUUAGCCUGCUCCCAUUGGCCUUGGUCACAGUGGGGGAAUUCAGUCAUUUCCCUGCCACCUUUGCCUGGAAGUAUUGCAUCAUGGAAAAUGGCUCUUUGUUGGCUAUCAAGGCUGAAUCACUCCAGCCAGAGUGAUUCAGCAGCUGAUCAUGUUUGGCACGUUUCAGUCUCAGCAGUCCAAAACCCAGCCUUUCAUCAACAGAAGUAUGCACUAUAAGGCUUAUCGUCUCUCACUCAAAGCACGUUGUGAACAGGUGUGUAUUUCCUUCUGACAAACACCAGAAGAACCAGCUCUUAUGCCUGCCAAGCAAUAUUAUGAGUGCAGACAGGAUCCAGAGCAAUGCAGAAAGGGAAAGAUGGCAGAUGGCCUUCAACAAAGCACUAAUGAUUUGGGAGGUGUAAUGCAAUGGAAAGCACAACAACGACAGCAGAGUAGCAAGAUCGCAAGCUAUAGCGAGUGAAGAUUCACUCAGACACAACAGCACUGCGCACAGAAAUUAGGGAAAAAAGUUGCUUACCUUCAGAAGGCCUCAGGUCUUGGACUGUGUGAGUCCUUCUGUGUCCUGCCCUUGGAGCUGCAAAGGGCUGAGUGGGACCAAUGCACCAGGUCCCCUCCUGUCCCAGCAGCUCUUAAUGAGAGUGCUCGACAUUCUUGGGAGGCAACCUGCAGGCUCAGCCCUAAGACAGAAGAUGAAGUUGUUUUGAAACAGCAGAUGAAUAAUAUUGUCAGGAGUCGAUUAAUGAAAGAAAGCGCCUACACAGCCGUGCAAGGAGUGCAGGCAGAAGAUAAAAUUCUGUGAAAAGUUUGCAUGACAGUCAAGCAUCAUCAAGACGUGAUUUUAAACUGAGAUGAGAAACAAGGAGCUGACAUAAGAAAGACUCUUGUUUGGAGUGGAAUGCUCUUGUUCAGUUCCUAAACUAUUAUCUAUGUUUGAUAUUAAGUUUGUUAUUAGAACUACUAAUUCAGGAACUUUGAUAACCUUCCCUCAUCAUUUUGUAGUCAUCUAGAUUUUAGGCAUAGGCGUUUGCCUUUUGAGAACAGCGAACGAAAGAUAAAUGCAACUCACGUAGUUACUUAAAAAAUACAGGAAAAAUCUGCCAGUCCAGAAUAUGAAA